CGUGAAACAAGUUAUUACAUCGGUACGCGUCCUUAUUUUUAUUAACGGAAUCGCGUGACGGUAAUAAAGUUCUGCUACUGUUUUAUGUUGUGUAUCUUACGAAUUAAUCAAAAGUAUGAAUGCAUUUUGUAGGACAUAAUCAAGCUCUUCUGGGUAUAUAAUGUAUAAUCCUCGCCCAAUAAGAUGGUUGAGAGAGGCCACCACGUAUGUGACGUCAGGAGAUGCGGUGAAGUGUCGAGAACAUGUAACAGUAUCGCCAGCUUUGAACAAUAUGGCCGUGCUUAUGUCAAGAUGUACAAUUUUGUACUGGGGGAGGAGGUGGUGGUGGCAAGUGCUGCACUGCUACUGCUGAAGUUGAAGUUACAGCGGGAUGUAUUGGAGGCAUGACUGCAGUAGUAUGAACUGGAGCCAUAUGAGGACCAACAGUUGCCAUUACUGAAUGAGAUCCUGGGCCCAUAAACUUUGAUUGACUGGGGCCAUAUGUUGCUAUAUUAUUAGUUGCUGGCAGGGGAGGAGGAGGCGGUGGAGGUGGAGGGGCUAUAGCCAGAGACUCUCUGAUAUACAUUGCUAUCUGCGGGAUUGUUUCACCGCUUGUCAUUGACAUAUUUCUGUACCUUUCCACAAGAACCUCAGAUAAAUCAUCCGAAAUCCGUAGGAUCGGAGACUCAGAUGAGACUGGAGCCGCUGGGGAAGAUACACUGAAUAGUUCAAACGUCUUUUCAAAGACUCCAGAAUGUUACUAUAUUCAUUACAUUAUUAAGAAAAUUUAAUUCAUUUUUCAUUAUUAAACAUAAACUGUUGUAUGUAAGAAUUUGGUUACGAGAUAAUAUAGGCUA